rnacentral:rRNA from 1 species
AUUGAACGCUGGCGGCAGGCCUAACACAUGCAAGUCGAGCGGAUGAUGGGAGCUUGCUCCUGGAUUCAGCGGCGGACGGGUGAGUAAUGCCUAGGAAUCUGCCUGGUAGUGGGGGACAACGUUUCGAAAGGAACGCUAAUACCGCAUACGUCCUACGGGAGAAAGCAGGGGACCUUCGGGCCUUGCGCUAUCAGAUGAGCCUCGGUCGGAUUAGCUUGUUGGUGAGGUAAUGGCUCACCAAGGCGACGAUCCGUAACUGGUCUGAGAGGAUGAUCAGUCACACUGGAACUGAGACACGGUCCAGACUCCUACGGGAGGCAGCAGUGGGGAAUAUUGGACAAUGGGCGAAAGCCUGAUCCAGCCAUGCCGCGUGUGUGAAGAAGGUCUUCGGAUUGUAAAGCACUUUAAGUUGGGAGGAAGGGUUGUAGAUUAAUACUCUGCAAUUUUGACGUUACCGACAGAAUAAGCACCGGCUAACUCUGUGCCAGCAGCCGCUGUAAUAC